GCUCAGUAACACGUGGAUAACCUACCCUUAGGACUGGGAUAACCUUGGGAAACUGAGGAUAAUACUGGAUAGGCAAUUAUUCCUGCAAUGGUUUUUUGUUUAAAUGUUUUUUCGCCUAAGGAUGGGUCUGCGGCCGAUUAGGUAGUUGGUUAGGUAAUGGCUUACCAAGCCGUUGAUCGGUACGGGUUGUGAGAGCAAGAGCCCGGAGAUGGAACCUGAGACACGAAUCCAGGCCCUACGGGGCGCAGCAGUCGCGAAAACUUCACACUGGGGGCAACCCCGAUGAGGGAAUUCCUAGUGCUUGGGCAUUUGUCCAAGCUUUUCCCGAGCGUAGAUAACUCGGGGAAUAAGGGCUGGGUAAGACGGGUGCCAGCCGCCGCGGUAAUACCUGCAGCCCGAGUGGUGGUCGACUUUAUUGAGUCUAAAGCGUUCGUAGCCGGUCCGUUAAAUCCUUGGGUAAAUCGGGAAGCUCAACUUUCCGACUUCCGAGGAGACUGGCGGACUUGGGACCGGGAGAGGCCAGAGGUACUUCUGGGGUAGGGGUAAAAUCCUGUAAUCCUAGAAGGACCACCGGUGGCGAAGGCGUCUGGCUAGAACGGAUCCGACGGUGAGGGACGAAGCCCUGGGUCGCAAACGGGAUUAGAUACCCCGGUAGUCCAGGGUGUAAACGCUGCCGACUUGGUGUUGGGGGCCCUUCGUGGGAACUCAGUGCCGGAGAGAAGUUGUUAAGUCGGCCACUUGGGGAGUACGUCCGCAAGGAUGAAACUAAAAGGAAUUGGCGGGGGAGCACCGCAACGGGAGGAGCGUGCGGUUUAAUUGGAUUCAACACCGGAAAACUCACCAAGGGCGACUGUUACAUGAAAGCCAGGCUAAUGACCUUGCUUGAUUUUCAGAGAGGUGGUGCAUGGCCGUCGUCAGCUCGUACCGUGAGGCGUCCUGUUAAGUCAGGCAACGAGCGAGACCCACGCCCUUAGUUACCAGCGGAUCCUUUUGGAUGCCGGGCACACUAAGGGGACCGCCUGUGAUAAACAGGGGGAAGGAGUGGACGACGGUAGGUCCGUAUGCCCCGAAUCCUCUGGGCAACACGCGGGCUACAAUGGCUAAGACAAUGGGUUCCGACACCGAAAGGUGGAGGUAAUCCUCUAAACUUGGUCGUAGUUCGGAUUGAGGACUGUAACUCGUUCUCAUGAAGCUGGAAUGCGUAGUAAUCGCGUAUCACUAUUGCGCGGUGAAUACGUCCCUGCUCCUUGCACACACCG
rnacentral:rRNA from 1 species